rnacentral:rRNA from 1 species
GGCCCUACGGGGUGCACCAGGCGAGAAAACUUUGCAAUGUGCGAAAGCACGACAAGGUUAAUCCGAGUGGUUUCUGCUAAAGGAACCUUUUGUUAGUCGUAGAAUCACUGAUGAAUAAGGGGUGGGCAAGUUCUGGUGUCAGCCGCCGCGGUAAAACCAGCACCUCAAGUGGUCAGGAUGAUUAUUGGGCCUAAAGCAUCCGUAGCCGGCUCUGUAAGUUUUCGGUUAAAUCUGUACGCUUAACGUACAGGCUGCCGGGAAUACUGCAGAGCUAGGGAGUGGGAGAGGUAGACGGUACUCGGUAGGAAGGGGUAAAAUCCUUUGAUCUAUUGAUGACCACCUGUGGCGAAGGCGGUCUACCAGAACACGUCCGACGGUGAGGGAUGAAAGCUGGGGGAGCAAACCGGAUUAGAUACCCGGGUAGUCCCAGCUGUAAACUAUGCAAACUCAAUGAUGCAUUGGCUUGUGGCCAAUGCAGUGUUGCAGGGAAGCCGUUAAGUUUGCCGCCUGGGAAGUACGUACGCAAGUAUGAAACUUAAAGGAAUUGGCGGGGGAGCAC